UGAUGGUUUUUAAAAGACAAAGCCAAAUGCUUCUCUUUGUGUCAGAACCUUACUUCCAUGCCAUCGAACCCUACGCCAAGAAAGAACUUUGUGCUGUUAUUUUCCUGAUACUAUCCGCAAUUGCAAAGUCACGGCUGAGGAAGAUAUUCCAGAGAAUCCCCCGAAGUAUCUGUGUCCAGGUAUUGAUAAAGACCAUGCCUUUGGGAAAUACUACUGCAGGCCAAAGGAAGCCCCAGAACUAAUGGAACUCGUUGGUCCUAAAGGAACUGGGUGCCUCACUACUGAGUUGAUUUGUGUGUGUGAAGUUCCCCACUCUCGCCUUCGGACCACAGACAAUGCUCUCCCCGUGUCUCCCGAGGAGCUGGUCCUGUCGAGUCGGACAGUAUGAUGACUGCAGCCCAGAGCAUGAAUUCGUCUUACCUUCUCUGGCCACAUUUUCCCUUCCCCUCUGUGAUUCCCUCCUGCUACGCUUUUCCUUCACAGCCUGUGUUUCCAGGGAAAUGAAGACGAACAAAUUUGCUGCGACCUAUUGAUAGCAAGUGGAUUCUUCCCUAAUUCAGAAACAUCUGUUACUCUGAAGGGCUUCAUGCAUCUUACGAAAGAGAAAGCAGGCCGCGGGCUGAGGUCACUCAGCAACCAACAGCAUCUGGCUAGUAGAACCGUGUUUGGCAAAGGAUGAUGGUUUUCCGUGGACAGUUUCCUGUUUUGAAUCUUUUAAAGUUUAAAUAGUGAGUCUACCAGGUCCGGAGAGGAAUGGAGAAAGUAGACGGACUGUAGCAGCAGCGUUAACACUCGGAUCCAGGGCAGGGGCGAGGGGCCUCCUGAUGCUCUUCACUCUGCUUGCUGCAGGGCCAGAGAAGGAGAUGCCAAGUCCCAAGGGGAGACCCAGCGUCCCAGAGGAUCUCCAUCAAUAAGAGCCAGUGCUGCCUUUUGGAUUCCAGAACCAGGAAGAAGAGUGUGCUCCAGGGAGAUCGCUGUGGCGGGCAUGACAAUAAGAGCCCCUGGCCUUCCACAGACCGGGGGUGCCCACCUGUGCUGGUGAGGGCGACCUUCUUCCCUCCGUCCGACUCAGAUGCUCAUCUCUUCCAGAAACAUCCUCACAGACACACUCAGAAGUAAGGUUUUACCAGCUCUCUGGGCAUCCCUUAUCCCGCCAGGCCGACACAGAAAUCUGUUCUCACGAGUCCGCUUCCUGUCAGCCUGACGGCGAUAUGCAUCUCCUUAAACGGAGCUUGAUUUCCUAAUAGAGACAAUGACUUAAGUCCUAAUUCUGCUGAACCUGGUACCACCAUCCAGGGCAUGACCGAAAGCGCAGGAAUACUGACCAGCAGAGUGUGUCCCCACACAUCCCCCCAACUUCCCCGGGGCGGUUUAGCCCCUCUUCCCAGAAGACUGUGGUUCAAACAGCACUUUAUCCCUCCGGUCCCACCGCGCUACAAAGCGGCCGGCAGAUUUUUCAUCUCAGAUCUA